rnacentral:lncRNA from 1 species
AUGAAAAUAUUUGAACAGCUGAGAAACUGCGCAGAGUGGGAGAUGAGUUUGGGGCCUGUGUGCUGGGGAGUUGCUGACUGGGUUGUCCUGUUCCAGCAGGUAGCCAGAGGCCUGGGUUCUGAAGUGCCUGGAAUGGAGCCUUGGCAUUCCUGCCAGGGAAUGGGCAGUCAGUCAUUUGAGCUGCAGGGCUGCCUGGAAGGAUGGCUCAUCCGAGCACAGCAAGUGAGUGUAAUUGUCACUGACCCUGUACUUGCCCCUUGUGUGCUGAUCCUUUCCCAUGUCCAGGGAAGAGCUGUCUCCUUGUGCUGGUGCACCCACCCCAUAGCAUGGUGCCUUCUGCCGGAAUUGACUAGCUCCAC